rnacentral:rRNA from 1 species
UGCAAGUCUGGUGCCAGCAGCCGCGGUAAUUCCAGCUCCAAUAGCGUAUAUUAAAGUUGUUGCAGUUAAAAAGCUCGUAGUUGGAUUUCUGCUUUGAGCGUCCGGUCCGCUUCUGUGAAGUGUGUACUCUGGAUGUUUGAGGCAUUUUUUGUGAGGAUGUUUUUCUGCCAUUAAGUUGGUGGUUGAACAGACUUGCAUCGUUUACUGUGAAAAAAUUAGAGUGUUUAAAGCAGGCGUUUGCUCGUUGAAUACAUUAGCAUGGAAUAAUAAGAUACGACCUUGGUGGUCUAUUUUGUUGGUUUGCACACCAGGGUAAUGAUUAAUAGGGACAGUUGGGGGUAUUCAUAUUUCAGCGUCAGAGGUGAAAUUCUUGGAUCGCUGAAAGAUGAGCUUAGGCGAAAGCAUUUACCAAGGAUGUUUUCAUUAAUCAAGAACGAAAGUUAGGGGAUCGAAGAUGAUUAGAUACCAUCGUAGUCUUAACCAUAAACUAUGCCGACUCGGGAUUGGCAGUCGUUUGUUUAAAUGACCUUGUCAGCACCGUAUGAGAAAUCAAAGUCUUUGGGUUCCGGGGGGAGUAUGGUCGCAAGGCUGAAACUUAAAGGAAUUGACGGAAG